AGAGCGAACGCUGGCGGCAGGCCUAACACAUGCAAGUCGAGCGGCCGUAGCAAUACGGCAGCGGCAGACGGGAUAGUAACACGUGGGAACGCGCCCUUCGGUUCGGAAUAACUCAGGGAAACUUGAGCUAAUACCGGAUACGCCCUUACGGGGAAAGAUUUAUUGCCGAAGGAACGGCCCGCGUCCGAUUAGCUAGUUGGUGAGGUAAUGGCUCACCAAGGCUCCGAUCGGUAGCUGGUCUGAGAGGAUGACCAGCAUCACUGGGACUGAGACACGGCCCAGACUCCUACGGGAGGCAGCAGUGGGGAAUAUUGGACAAUGGGCGCAAGCCUGAUCCAGCCAUGCCGCGUGGAUGAUGAAGGCCUUAGGGUUGUAAAGUCCUUUUAACGGGAAGAUAAUGACGGUACCCGUAGAAUAAGCCCCGGCUAACGUUCGCGCCAGCAGCCGC
rnacentral:rRNA from 1 species